CUACGUGCCAGCAGCCGCGGUAAUACGUAGGUGGCAAGCGUUGUCCGGAAUUACUGGGUGUAAAGGGAGCGCAGGCGGGACAGCAAGUUGGAUGUGAAAUACCGAGGCUUAACCACGGAGCUGCAUCCAAAACUGUUGUUCUUGAGUGAAGUAGAGGUAGGCGGAAUUCCGAGUGUAGCGGUGAAAUGCGUAGAUAUUCGGAGGAACACCAGUGGCGAAGGCGGCCUACUGGGCUUUAACUGACGCUGAGGCUCGAAAGUGUGGGGAGCAAACAGGAUUAGAUACCCUGGUAGUCCACACUGUAAACGAUGAUUGCUAGGUGUGGGGGGUCUGACCCCCUCCGUGCCGGAGUUAACGCAAUAAGCAAUCCACCUGGGGAGUACGGCCGCAAGGU
rnacentral:rRNA from 1 species